AGCUCCAAUAGCGUAUAUUAAAGUUGUUGCAGUUAAAAAGCUCGUAGUUGGAUUUCUGGCAGGAGCGACCGGUCCGCCGCAAGGUGUGCACUAGGUCGUCUCCAGUCAUCUUUGUGGGAACUGCUCUGGCAUUAGGUUGUCGGGGUUAGGGAACACAUCGUUUACUGUGAAAAAUUAGAGUGUUUAAAGCAGGCUUAUGCCGUUGAAUACAUUAGCAUGGAAUAAUAAGAUAGGACUUUGGUGGUCUAUUUUGUUGGUUUGCACACCAAGGUAAUGAUUAAUAGGGAUAGUUGGGGGUAUUCGUAUUUAAUUGUCAGAGGUGAAAUUCUUGGAUUUAUGAAAGACGAACUACUGCGAAAGCAUUUACCAAAGAUGUUUUCA
rnacentral:rRNA from 1 species